rnacentral:rRNA from 1 species
UACGUAGGGUGCAAGCGUUGUCCGGAAUUAUUGGGCGUAAAGAGCUCGUAGGCGGUUUGUCGCGUCGGCUGUGAAAUCCCGAGGCUCAACCUCGGGCCUGCAGUCGAUACGGGCAAACUAGAGUGUGGUAGGGGAGACUGGAAUUCCUGGUGUAGCGGUGAAAUGCGCAGAUAUCAGGAGGAACACCGGCGGCGAAGGCAGGUCUCUGGGCCGAUACUGACGCUGAGGAGCGAAAGCGUGGGGAGCGAACAGG